UACGAAGCGGGCUAGCGUUGUUCGGAAUCACUGGGCGUAAAGCGCACGUAGGCGGAUUUGUUAGUCAGGGGUGAAAUCCCGGGGCUCAACCUCGGAACUGCCUUUGAUACUGCAGAUCUCGAGUCCGAAAGAGGUGAGUGGAAUUCCUAGUGUAGAGGUGAAAUUCGUAGAUAUUAGGAAGAACACCAGUGGCGAAGGCGGCUCACUGGUCCGGUACUGACGAUGAGGUGCGAAAGCGUGGGGAGCAAACAGG
rnacentral:rRNA from 1 species